AUAAAGUGUCAAAUUUAACAUCAUCCAAAUAAGAAACAACUAAGUUACUAUACAUAUUCCAAUUCACCUGCUUAUAAUUAGGGGAGAUGAUAACUACUGCCCAGAGGACUGUCAAUAACUGACCAGUCACAUAAAAGAGCCAAAGAUGGAGUUACCAAAGUCAAGUCAAGAGCAUUAGGACGCCAAGAUGGAGAUCCUAUUGUGGUAGCUUGACCAUUAUUCAGAAUAACAAGACCAUUCUCAUCUAUAACCUCUAAAACAUCUUUACCUCGAGGCAAUGUAUCAACACAUCCCCACAACAUGUGAUGAGCAUUGAAAUCACCUGCAAAUAUCAUUGGCUCUGGAAUGGACUUAAUUAAACUGUUUAAAUUGUUUUUAUUAAAUGGAGGAUUUGAAUUGGAAGGACUGUAAAAACUCACAAUACUCAGUUCUUUGUUAUUAAUUUUAAUUUUAAUGCAAACAUUUUGUAGAGCACUAUCAUAAUAUGUAUUUAUGUUAGAAAAUGUGAUAUUAUUAUGAAUAAAAAUUGCUACACCA